rnacentral:lncRNA from 10 species
UUCAGUAUAUCUAAAAUGAUUGGUCUUAGCACAUUAUUAGAUGUAUGAGCUUGAUUUACUGAAUUUGUACCUUAUUUAUCGCCCAGGCUGGAGUGCAGUGGCAAGAUGUCAGCUUACUGCAACCUCUGCCUCCCGGUGAUUCUCCUGCUUCAGCCUCCUGAGUAGCUGGGAUUACAGGCGUUUGCCACCACACCCAGCUAAUUUUUGUAUUUUUGGUAAGGACAGGAUUUUGCUAUGUUGGCCAGGCUGGUCUUGAACUCUUGGCCUCAGGUGAUCCAUCUGCCUCAGCCUCCCCAAGUGCUGGGUGGGCCACCACACCUGGCCUGAGUUUGUAUUUUAGAGUUUCUUUUCUCCCCUUUUAGUGUAGGAAAUCUAAAGCUACCCUAGAACAACUGUAGUACUUACAUGCCAAAGAUGAGAAUGUGUAUGAAAACAUUGUCACUGGUAACACCAGUAAUAGGCACAUGGUUGAACUGAGCUUGAGACUACCCUAGAACUGUAGUACUUACAUGCCAAAGAUGAGAAUGUGUAUGAAAACAUUGUCACUGGUAACACCAGUAAUAGGCACAUGGUUGAACUGAGCUUGAGACAGAUCUGCUCUACAGUAGGAAGUUAUAACUAGUUAAACUUGAUUUUUAAAAUUCCAGAAGAUAGUGAAUUUUAAUGUAUACCUGAGACACACUGUGACUUCAAAUAAAAUAGUAACUGGCUGGGCAUGGCAACUCAUGCCUAUAAUCCCAGCACUUUGGGAGGCUGAG